AGGAAUGAGGGAGUGGAAAAUUUUGUCCUCUGCUUUGGAGAUGCUUGAAAAUUCCGACGCAAUGGAGGUUUUCACUGUGAUGUGUGAAUAUUACGAUCCACAGUAGGCAUUGUAGUCGACGUGGACAGCACUCUGCGCCCGACUACCCGGAUCAGAUUUAGGGCUGGGAUGGAAACCAAUGACAUCUUCAGGGAAAGGGAGCCAAUCUCAUCGCUGAAACACAAAGGCCACUUGGGGGCGGGAAACCUACCCGCCGCUGGAAUCCACGACGAUGGCUCGCGGGUUCACCAGACCAUCGCGGAACAUGGCCCUCCUGCCCCUGCCGUCCAGGCCUGAAGUCUCGAUCCUGUCUGCUCCGCUGUCCACCCAGACCAUCAUCCCACGCACCGCAUCCACCGCCAAACCCUCAGGUGCCACCAACCCUGGACAUUUACAGAACCACAUUCUGGAAAGAGAAUCUACUACCGAUGUGGAAGAUCCAGACUCCUGGACAGCCUGCAUUUCCCUGCCUGAGAACGAAAACUGGGUCAAAAUCACAGCAGUACAGUGGCAGAAAAAAUAAUGUAAAUUAAUGAGGCAUUCUACCAUUCAUUGCCAAAAUGUAUUUAUGCUUAUGAUACAUUUUCUUUGUUCAGGUUAACGAUGUGGUUCUAAACAGCUUCCUCUCUUUAGCCUAUUUAAAGCGUCUCAUAUUUUCCGGGAGCGAAUCAAGUUAAGUCGCCAAAAUCAUGUGCAGUACGACUUUUGAACAUCGGUGUUAGGUGACAGACUUUAACUACCGACGCCUUUCCCAGUGUAUCUGGCACUCCCGUGCUUCCG